AUUGAACGCUGGCGGCGUGCUUAACACAUGCAAGUCGAACGCGAAAGGGACUUCGGUCCUGAGUAAAGUGGCGCACGGGUGAGUAACGCGUGGAUAAUCUGCCCUUAUGAUUGGAAUAACAGUUGGAAACGGCUGCUAAUACCGGAUACGCUCAAAAUGAACUUUUUGAGGAAAGAUGGCCUCUGCUUGCAUGCUAUCGCAUAAGGAUGAGUCCGCGUCCCAUUAGCUUGUUGGCGGGGUAACGGCCAACCAAGGCAUCGAUGGGUAGCCGAUUUGAGAGGAUGAUCGGCCACACUGGAACUGAAACACGGUCCAGACUCCUACGGGAGGCAGCAGUGGGGAAUAUUGCGCAAUGGGCGAAAGCCUGACGCAGCGACGCCGCGUGAGGGAUGAAGGUUUUCGGAUCGUAAACCUCUGUCAGAAGGGAAGAAACUACGUUGUGCUAAUCAGCAGCGUACUGACGGUACCUUCAAAGGAAGCACCGGCUAACUCCGUGCCAGCCGCCGCCGUAA
rnacentral:rRNA from 1 species